UUGUCUAGACUAGCCAUGCACGUCUAAGUACAAACUAAAUGAUGGUGAAACUGCAAAUGGCUCAUUACAACGGUUAUGAUGUACCCGGGAGUUCCGAUGGAUAUUUCCAGUAACACUAGAACUAAUACAUGUCCCUGCGUUUAUUAGUUUCGCACAGUCCGUCGCUGAGUCAUGGUAAACAGUUGAUCGACUCGACGUCCCGGAACAGUUUCCGCCCCAUCAGCUUCGAUGGUUGGGUAUUGGCCUACCAUUGCAACAACGGGUAACGAGGAAUUAGGGUUUGAUUUCGGAGAGGGAGCCUGAGAAACGGCUACCACAUCUACGGAUGGCAGCAGGCGCGCAAAUUACCCAAUGCAGACACUGUGAGGUAGUGACGAGAAAUAAUAAAGCGGGACUUCUGUUUCGCUAUUAUAAUGAGGAAUAACCAAAGGUCAUUCCGAUUAGCAACUGAUGGGAAAGUCUGGUGCCAGCAGCCGCGGUAAUACCAGCGUCAGUAGCAU
rnacentral:rRNA from 1 species